UAUAAUAUUUGAAUUGAAUGCAAAAUGUUUAAUUUGAAUGUUUUUAUCCCAGUGUAAAAUUGUUGUUUUCACAGUGAAAACAAUCAAAACAAAAUUAGUAAAAUAUUCAAAAUCACUUUCAUGUUUAUUCUUUCUGGCAACCAUGACAACAAAAAUAAAAAAUCUGGCAGCCAAUGACGAUCUGUCAAGUAAGAAAUUUGUGGAAGUUAUGUUUACAAAGUGGCCUCUCACGAAUCUAUCGUCUGCUUAGUGAAUUUGUGAUUUUUCGGUGUGAUGACAAACGUAAACUACGCUAAGCCAUGUACAGGGAGGACGAGCCCAUUGCAACGGUGGAUACAAACGGAAACUCCAAUGAGUCCAACUCCAACGCUACCUUGUCGCUGUCGAAAGAAUCGGAUUACGAUGUUACGCUGGAAACGGCAAGGAAACGGACCCCAUCAAGCGGUUUGAUUUUCUCCCACUUUAUGCUAUCAGCCCCCGGCAAAAGGAUCAUCAAGUAGCCCACCAGCCAUGGCGAAAGGCAAACAAAGAAAGGAGCCGAUUAGGGAGAGAAGCAACUCGCUCCUGUGGCGACCCGGAAGAAUAUAUUUGUAUUGCACUCAUCUCCAUCGAACGACGGAACAGGGAGAUGAUGAGGAGCUGUUGGCGUGUUCCACUUUGAAGCGUCCCCUGCCGUAUAUCAAGGCUGGCGAGAUACGAGACUACCAAACAGAGGUCUGAAACGGAUUAUAAUUUUUCGGUACGAAUAUAGAAUCAACAGAAUUCUGUAGACAAUUUCCCUGUUGGAUUAUUUGAAGAGCUUGCGAAGCAAUCCAGGACUGCACAUUGUUAUCGUGCCAAAAUUGACGCUGCAGAACUGGGUCAACAAACUUGGACGGUGGCGUGCGAUUUGAUUGAUUGAAGACCAGAAAAUUAGGAAUGUAUUCAUCAGGGAUGUGCUGAAGCCUAGGAAAGGCCUAUCGUACCAAGAAGGAAAAAUCUGUGCUUUCAGAAAUUUUGAGGGACUUUGAGACGGCCAACCGCCUGUUGCUGACGUGAUCGCCGCUGCUGAAUAAUGAAUUAUUGGCAGUGGCUGAUUUGCUACUCGCCGCUUCCACUUCCAGGCGCUAUCGUAUAUGCGCCAGCGUAAGUUAACUGCAAGAAAUUUGUAUGGCGAAAGACAUCUAACGCGGGUUUUCUCAAAAUUAGGAACUUUUCAUGAAAAACUAUUUGGUACCGGUUAUGUAGGAAGGUGUCCGCUACUACGCCUACCAAAUAUUUUUUCGAUGAAGGUGCUUAAUUUUGAGAAAUCGAACCUUAGAUGCCUUUCGCCA